rnacentral:sRNA from 1 species
GGAUAUGACAGGGAUCUGGAUGUGACACCUGUCACCCCAAUGACCACCAAGGUUGAUUUGGCUGAUCUGGCUGGCAAGGUGAGUGUCCACUUCUUUCCUCACCACUCCACAAGUGUCUCUCUUCAAGCUGCUGGUAGGGUCAAGGUGGAUGGACUGGUCUUUCGGUUGAGCAUAUGCCCCUGUUGGAACUCCAAACAAGCUCCUAGUCCCCAUGAUAUACUCUGUUCUACUCUCUUAAGGAAAGAUGUAUAGAGGGGGUGGUGACAUUGGGAGGACUCACUCCCAGUCAACCCAAUCCCCAGAUGUGUCAUU